rnacentral:rRNA from 1 species
UACGUAGGGCGCAAGCGUUAUCCGGAAUUAUUGGGCGUAAAGAGCGUGUAGGCGGUCCGGUAAGUCAGCUGUGAAAGUCAAGGGCUCAACCCUUGAAAGCCGGUUGAUACUGUCGGGCUAGAGUCCGGAAGAGGCGAGUGGAAUUCCCGGUGUAGCGGUGAAAUGCGCAGAUAUCGGGAGGAACACCAAUGGCGAAGGCAGCUCGCUGGGACGGUACUGACGCUGAGACGCGAAAGCGUGGGGAGCAAACAGG